CAUUAAAAAUUGUAUUUUAUUCCUUGGUAAAAAUGUCGAAAGCAACAUUUGCAAUUUUAAAAAUAUUAAACAUAAUUUAUCAUUUAUUUUGAUAAAUAUACUUGUAGUUCACAUUUUAUCCACUUUUGUCGCUGUAGUCGUAUACGUUUCAUGCGGUAAGAUAUAUAUAUAUAUAUAUAUAUAUAUAUAUGCCAUAUAUAUAAUGCCCAGUACAUAUGAUGUAUACAUAAAUAGAAUAUUAAUAGAGGACAUAUAAAAUAUAUAUGUCAUAUGUGUUUACAUUCCACAUACAUGCAUAUAUAUAUACAAAUAAAUAUCGUAAGGUUUAUAGUUCUCGUUUGCAUUUUUUCAGUGACAAAACUAUUGUUUAUCAACAAUAUAAAAAGCAAUAUAUCUAAAUAAUCAAAAGUUAUAAUAAAGAAAAAAACAUAAAGUAAACAAUAAAAAUAUAUUACAAAAAUGUGUAAAGAACGUACCGUCGAAACAUAUCAUAUUCAUUAUAAAUUUGAUCAUCAAACGCAAAUGAUUUUACAUAGUUUAAAUGCUGAUCAUUUAAUAAAGUCUUGUAAAGAAAGAAACAUAUCAACUAAAGAUCUGCAUAAUCUAACUGUCGACGACUUUAUAGAAUUAGAUAUGAAAAUAUUAUUGAAACGCUGAAUAAUAAUAAGAAACAAUUGGAUUUAAUAUCUGUAGGUGUUGCUUAUGUUCGAUUAACACUUGAAAAAAAAGGAAUAAAUAAUACUUUUAUAAACUCACGUGAUUUAAUAACUGUUAAUACAAUUUUAUGCACAAGUAUAACUGAGAAUCUUAAUGCAGUUAAGGAUUUGGAGAAAGCUAUAGAAGAAUGUUCCGCUUUAAUUCCAAAGGUAUAUAUAUUAAAGUAAACGAUAAGGGUGUCUCAGUUUUUUUUUAUUACCAUUGGUUUUUAAAAGCUUUUUUGUUCAAUCCUAGGUAAAGAUUGUAAAAUUUUGCAGAAAAAAAUCUGGGACACUUUGUGUAUACGAGAGUGGGUUGAAAAGUUUUGAGUUUUGACAAAAAUUUUCCAACUCAUCCACGUAUAUAUUUUUUUAUAACGUUAUAUAAGUAUAAUAAUAAUGAUAAAAAAUUAUUGUUUAUUGUAGAAUAUUACUAAAAAAAAGGAACAAUCUUUCAUUUCUUUACCUAUGUUGUUUGCUGGAUUAGGUUUAAUAUUAUGUCAGAUAUCACGUAUACGAAAAAACUAAGGUCUUGUAUGAAAUGUUUAAUUCUUUUUAUUGGGAGUUUUCCAUUUAUCUAACUCUAUUUUUUUAUAUUCUCUUUAUUCUGACUCAUAUACUUAUACAUUUUCACAUUCAUGCUAUUUACAUGAUUUUUCACAUACAAUUAUAUAUUUUAUAUCAACCCAUUAGAUACAAGACACUUAUUUCUAAUACUUU